rnacentral:rRNA from 1 species
AUUGAACGCUGGCGGCAUGCCUUACACAUGCAAGUCGAACGGUAACAGGUCUUCGGAUGCUGACGAGUGGCGAACGGGUGAGUAAUACAUCGGAACGUGCCCGAUCGUGGGGGAUAACGCAGCGAAAGCUGUGCUAAUACCGCAUACGAUCUACGGAUGAAAGCGGGGGAUCGCAAGACCUCGCGCGGACGGAGCGGCCGAUGGCAGAUUAGGUAGUUGGUGGGAUAAAAGCUUACCAAGCCGACGAUCUGUAGCUGGUCUGAGAGGACGACCAGCCACACUGGGACUGAGACACGGCCCAGACUCCUACGGGAGGCAGCAGUGGGGAAUUUUGGACAAUGGGCGCAAGCCUGAUCCAGCCAUGCCGCGUGCAGGAAGAAGGCCUUCGGGUUGUAAACUGCUUUAGUCUAGGAAAAGGGUAGCGAGGUUAAGUACCCUCCGUGCUUUGACGGUACUGGAGAAUAAGCACCGGCUAACUACGUGCCAGCAGCCGG